rnacentral:rRNA from 1 species
ACAGUUCAUGAGGUUUUGGCCCUCUCAAAAGCCAAUUCCCCGGGGCUGAUUUUUCUGUCAGAAACUCGUCAAGCCUCAAGUAAGAUGGAGAAAUUGAAGUGGAGAUUACAAAUGAAAGGUUUUGCUGGUGUGUCAAGUGAUGGUCUCAGUGGGGGGCUAGCGCUGUAUUGGGAUGAAAAUCUGCAAGUAACGGUG